rnacentral:rRNA from 1 species
GACGAACGCUGGCGGCGUGCCUAAUACAUGCAAGUAGAACGCUGAAGAGAGGAGCUUGCUCUUCUUGGAUGAGUUGCGAACGGGUGAGUAACGCGUAGGUAACCUGCCUGGUAGCGGGGGAUAACUAUUGGAAACGAUAGCUAGUACCGCAUAAAAUGGAUUAUCGCAUGAUAAUCCAUUGAAAGGUGCAAAUGCAUCACUACCAGAUGGACCUGCGUUGUAUUAGCUAGUUGGUGGGGUAACGGCUCACCAAGGCGACGAUACAUAGCCGACCUGAGAGGGUGAUCGGCCACACUGGGACUGAGACACGGCCCAGACUCCUACGGGAGGCAGCAGUAGGGAAUCUUCGGCAAUGGACGGAAGUCUGACCGAGCAACGCCGCGUGAGUGAAGAAGGUUUUCGGAUCGUAAAGCUCUGUUGUAAGAGAAGAACGAGUGUGAGAGUGGAAAGUUCGCACUGUGACGGUAUCUUACCA